rnacentral:lncRNA from 1 species
AUAAAGAGCAUGAAUUGAUAAGAGAAGACAAUAAAUAAAUAAACUGAAUUACUAUUAAGAAUUGAACCUCAAGAAGUCAUGAACGAUGUUCCCGUAUACCAAUGGAUCAACCUAGGGUUGCUAGUUCUCGAUGAGAAUGUAGCAGCCUUUCUUUCUAUUUUUUUUGCGUGAAAUCAGAAUAAUCAAACCCUAGCUGUGUUUUUGCUUAAGUACUCAUAGAAAAUUGGGCUUAAAAAGCUACGGGUCGAAAAACAUAAGUUUGACCCGAAAUUACAUUAUUUUCAUAAAGUCUGGAACAUAAACGUAAAUAUUUGACUGCGUUGCGCCCCGAACUGGGUUCUGGCCUUAACAUGAAAGUUGUAGCUCUUUCUCUUGUCUUUCCAACGCAUAUUCGCACACCUCAAUCCGAUAAUCGUAGCUCAAGUUAUGACCUGCACACUGAGAAGGAUCAAUAUGUCAUUAAAUACGAAAAUUGGUCAAAUAAAUUCAUUAAGGCUCAAUUGUGACCCAAAACUUAGAAACAUAAUAAAAACUCGAUAUUAUUGUAGA